rnacentral:lncRNA from 12 species
AUGCACGUCUGCAAUGAGAAUCAAUCCACCGUGGAUCCCAGGAGCUCAGGCAGCCGGCCAGUAAUCGUGGAAACUGUCUGCUGGAAUGGGACCUCAGGCGAAGACACAGGGGUCAUCCCCUCUCAUUUCUGUCUCCUUCUCUGCAUACCUAACCCCCUGCUCCACCAGGUUCAAUUAUUUGAAAAAUGCGUGAGAAUCUUAACGCUGAACUGAAAUUGAAAGUGCAAAAAGGAAAGGAUGGGACACAUGCUCCUGACCUGCUGCAGCAGAGUGCUCUGAUUUCAUUAUUGGAUGUCUCACUUGGAACCUGGCACUGACCCUGGCAAGUUAGGCCUCCAGCAGUUAAGGAAAAACCACUGCCUAAUGCAGCAG